rfam:Camelus ferus unplaced genomic scaffold scaffold849, whole genome shotgun sequence.
AUCACCUGGCAUCUUGUUGAAAUACAGAUUCUGAUUUAAUAGGUCUGGAGUGGGGCCCAAGGUUCUGCAUUUCUAACAAGUGCCCGAGUGAUGCCCU